CUCCAUUCCUUCUUUAAAACAUGCAUCACCUAUCCCGUUUCUCACCUCUCAUACUCAAUUCCUGCAGUCAAGUUUCACGGUAAUAAUACAAAAUAAUUCCCAUCUCUUUUAAUUUUCUUUGUGAAACUCAUUCUCACUUUUGUAAAUUAUGCAGAGAGCAACAACAUACACCACCAAUUCGAGGUUUUCUCCUUAAACUAAACUCCUCCUUCAUUUCAUGCUUCAUAUCAAAUUACUCAUAUUCCAUUUUAUGUGCAUGUACAGUUUGUGGGCAAACUGAAAUUACACAUACAAAUGAAGGAUUGAAAUUACAGUAUACAGUGUGUGAGCACAAGUUAUAAUUGAACAACAAUUACAGCUUAGUAUAUGAAACUCUAUUUCUAUCGUGUUGACUGGAUGUUGGGGCUGAGCCUGUUCUGUGUGUGAGUGACGGGGUCAGGGAGGCGGAACCGCGGUAGCUCGUCGGCGGCGAUGUCGCCGUUGUCUCCGUUUCAGCCGAAUCGGAAAAAGUGAGGCUAGAAGUUAGAAGAUUUCAGUGGGUAAAAGGGGAUAAGAAAUGAAGAUUUAGGGCUUACCCGGUUCCAGGCGACGGACGGCGGCGGCGGCGGCUCCGGCCAUUCGAUCGGAGAAGAUGAAGCAGGGGAGGCGGCGGCGCGGCUUAGGCCGUGUCCGUGUGCGUGUGGGUGUGUGACAGAGGGAGUGAGAGAAGAGGGAGGGAGAUGGAGAAGGCGGCCGUUCAGCCGGAGAGGAGAGAGCGGCGGCGGCGUCUGCUGCCUCUUUCCGGCAGAGACAAGAGAUGAGCGAGAAAAGAGAGGGUGAGAGAGAGGGAGAGUUCAGAGAGGGAGAAAGGACGGUGGCAGCCGGCGUCCGGCGGCGGCGGAGAGCAGCCGAGAGAGAGAGAACCGUGUGAGUGGGUGCGUGUGUGUGAGUGUGUUUGAAUGUGGUUUUAGUGUUUUGGUUAAAAAUUAAAGGGGUUAUUGCCAUAAAAUACACAUAGUUUGCUAAUUUUCUGAUUUAUAACAUGACUUUAAAAUUUGGCCAAAAAAUACAUCAAUUUUAAAUUCAAUUUUAAUUUUAACAUAAUUUGAAUUUAUGAAAAAUAAAGAUCUAUGUGGCAUAUUAUUUUUUAUUUUAAAUCUAGAUGGCAUAUUAAUAUUUGUUUUAAAUCUAUGUGGCAAAUCCACAUACACAAACACACACUGACACACACACACCACAUACACACAAACACACACUGACUCACACACACCACACACACACAAACACGAACACACACCACAU
rnacentral:lncRNA from 1 species